rnacentral:rRNA from 1 species
GUUGAACGCUGGCGGCGGGCCUAACACAUGCCAGUCGAGCGAAAGCACGAGAAGCUUUCCUUUUUGAUGUUAGAGGCGGACGGGUGAGUAACACGUGGAUAACCUACCUAUAAGACUGGGAUAACUUCGUGAAAACGGAGCUAAUACCGGAUAAUAGUUUGAACCGCAUGGUUCAAAAGUGAAAGACGGUCUUGCUGUCACUUAUAGAUGGAGCCGCGCUGCAUUAGCUAGUUGGUAAGGUAACCGCUUACCAAGGCAACGAUGCCUAGCAGACCUGAGAGGGUGAUCGGCCACACUGGAACUGAGACACGGUCCAGACUCCUACGGGAGGCAGCAGUAGGGAAUAUUGCACAAUGGGCGAAAGCCUGACGGAGCAACGCCGCGUGUAUGAUGAAGGUCUUCGGGUCGUAAAGCACUGUUAUUGGGGAGGAAGAUAGGUGAGUGUAACUGUGCACAUCUUGACGGUACCUAAACAAAAAGCCACGGCUAACUACGUG